rnacentral:rRNA from 6 species
AAAUUGAAGAGUUUGAUCAUGGCUCAGAUUGAACGCUGGCGGCAGGCCUAACACAUGCAAGUCGAACGGUAACAGGAAGCAGCUUGCUGCUUCGCUGACGAGUGGCGGACGGGUGAGUAAUGUCUGGGAAACUGCCUGAUGGAGGGGGAUAACUACUGGAAACGGUGGCUAAUACCGCAUAACGUCGCAAGACCAAAGAGGGGGACCUUCGGGCCUCUUGCCAUCAGAUGUGCCCAGAUGGGAUUAGCUUGUUGGUGAGGUAACGGCUCACCAAGGCGACGAUCCCUAGCUGGUCUGAGAGGAUGACCAGCCACACUGGAACUGAGACACGGUCCAGACUCCUACGGGAGGCAGCAGUGGGGAAUAUUGCACAAUGGGCGCAAGCCUGAUGCAGCCAUGCCGCGUGUAUGAAGAAGGCCUUCGGGUUGUAAAGUACUUUCAGCGGGGAG